UUCCAGACUCCUACGGGAGGCAGCAGUAGGGAAUUUUGCGCAAUGGGCGAAAGCCUGACGCAGCAACACCGCGCGAAUGUUAAGCCCUUCGGGGUGUAAAGUUCUGUCAAUAGGGACGAAUUUUGACUGUACCUAUAAAGGAAGCACCGGCUAACUCCGUGCCAGCAGCCGCGGUAAUACGGGGGGUGCAAGCGUUGUCCGGAAUCAUUGGGCGUAAAGCGUUCGUAGGCGGCAAGGUAAGUCUGAUGUUAAAGCCCGGGGCUCAACUCCGGUUCGGCAUUGGAUACUAUCUAGCUAGAAUGUGGUAGAGGUAAAGGGAAUUCCUGGUGUAGCGGUGAAAUGCGUAGAUAUCAGGAGGAACACCGGCGGCGAAGGCGGCCUGCUGGGCUUUAACUGACGCUGAGGCUCGAAAGCGUGGGGAGCAAACAGGAUUAGAUACCCGUGUAAG
rnacentral:rRNA from 1 species